GAUGGGAUGACAGUGUUCAAGGCAUAGCUGAAGAUAAAUAAAUAGCAUCCUCACAUAGGAAUUGCUAUUGUCCAGGAGGGUCAGGACAGAGUGGAGAGCUGUGGUGAUGGCAUUAGACAAACUGAUGUGGGUCCAGAUUUGGGGGAAGACAGGAUCUCAGGUGGGAGAAAACCAGCUUCUCAAAACGUUUGCAACAGCCAUCUAGCAUCUGCUGGUAGACUUCCUGAAGAUUGAGACUUCCCCAGAAAGCCAAGCUCUGUCAUCAUUCACAGCUGCUGUCUGUCAGCUCUACAUGCUGUUCUCACGCUACAUGUUUGCAAACACAUUCCAGGCCAACAACAUGGAAACAGAGAAUGUAAAAAUGUAUUAUCUUAAAUUGUCCUUGUGCACUGCCCUUGUAGGACUAAACUUAUGCUCUGGAGUUUUGAAGGUCUUAAAAUGUUUAUCUACCUUCUAUCUUCUUAUCUACCUAUAUCACCAUACUUUCCUCCCAGUUCUCUCCACAACUACACUUCUUACUGUACCAAGGUCCAAGUAAUGUGGGGCCACACCUGUAUCACCAAACACCUACAUUACAAGAAUACAUACACGUUUUAAUCUUUAUAUUGUGACGCUCGAUUGACUUUUUUUCCCCUGAUAACUAGUUUAUUUCAUCCAGUUGGAAUAAAAUUACAUGAUUUGUUCACCUACAGCAUCUGAACACACAUAUUUAAAAAUAUAUAUAUAUUUUCAUAAAAUGUUAUUGGUUUUAUUUCACUUUAACUGUGGUGUUCCUGGUCUAAAGUGACCGGCCACUGGAAAU